UACGUAGGGUGCAAGCGUUGUCCGGAAUUAUUGGGCGUAAAGAGCUCGUAGGCGGUCUGUCGCGUCUGCUGUGAAAAUCAGGGCUCAACCCUGGACCUGCAGUGGGUACGGGCAGACUAGAGUGCGGUAGGGGAGAUCGGAAUUCCUGGUGUAGCGGUGAAAUGCGCAGAUAUCAGGAGGAACACCGGUGGCGAAGGCGGGUCUCUGGGCCGAUACUGACGCUGAGGAGCGAAAGCGUGGGGAGCGAACAGG
rnacentral:rRNA from 1 species